UUCAUAUACAAUAGAAACACAGUCGUCCAUAUGAUUGGUUUUAUGACACAUUUUCCAACAACUCCCACUUGAACUAAAACCAAUCGGGGCAGUAUCUUAUACCUAUCUUUCAUUUGUGAUCAUCGAACUCUUUGAUCCUGAGAGCUUUAGUAAAGGGGUCGGCUAAAUUUUCUUUUCCAUCGAUCUUCUAAAGUUCGACAUUAUCUUGAUCCACAAUCUCUCAUAC
rnacentral:lncRNA from 1 species